rnacentral:rRNA from 1 species
UACAGAGGGGGCAAGCGUUAUUCGGAAUUAUUGGGCGUAAAGGGCGCGUAGGCGGCCUUGCAAGUGGGAGGUGAAGUCCCUCGGCUUAACCGAGGAACUGCCCUCCAAACUGCUUGGCUUGAGACCGGGAGAGGUGAGUGGAAUUCCCAGUGUAGCGGUGAAAUGCGUAGAUAUUGGGAGGAACACCAGUGGCGAAGGCGGCUCACUGGACCGGUACUGACGCUGAUGCGCGAAAGCGUGGGGAGCGAACAGG